GACAGAGGGUGCAAACGUUGUUCGGAAUUACUGGGCGUAAAGCGCGUGUAGGCUGCUUGGAAAGUCGGAUGUGAAAGCCCUGGGCUCAACCUAGGAAGUGCAUUCGAAACUUCUGAGCUUGAGUUCUGGAGAGGAAGGCGGAAUUCUCGGUGUAGAGGUGAAAUUCGUAGAUAUCGGGAGGAACACCAGUGGCGAAGGCGGCAGCCUGGACCGAUACUGACGCUGAGGUGCGAAAGCGUGGGGAGCAAACAGG
rnacentral:rRNA from 1 species